rnacentral:lncRNA from 1 species
GGGACACCGAGCUCCCCCACCCCUACUACAGAGGUCUGAGACCUCCGACCUUGUAUUUUUCUUUUACUGUAAUUUUUUCUUUUCUUUUUGUCUUUAAGAAAUAUUCAAUCAAUAAAGUUGAAUUUCUUGUCAUGGAUGGCUUCUCCUUUCUUCCUUUCCCCUUUCUGCUUUUCUUUCUGUGAUGAGACGCGCCUUGACGCUUUUGUCUCCCGAUGGCAGUGCCCUGUCGAAGCACUUCCCCUGCCCCUG